CUUUGCCAUACUGUUUUUCUGCUUCUUUUCCUGACCAAUAUCAAAUUUCCUGAAUCCAAGAGUUGAGCUGCACAAGUAUCAUUUUCUUCCACUGAAACAUUUGUAGACCACACAGGAAGCUUUUGGUCAUCGUUACCAUAGAGAACGAGGUUUCCAUAUUGGUUUAUAAAGAGAAAUCCUGAGGAACCAAUGAUUGGAUCGUUCCUGUUCGCAACCCACACCACAGUUUGUUCUGGUAUUUUAUGGUACCAAAUUCCAAGGUAUCUAUUGGUUGAACUGCCAGGACUGAAAAAUCCUAGUGCGAAAAUAUUUCCUUUGGAGAUAAGAAGGUCACCUUCUUUAAUGGUGUGGUUCGUCUUUAAGGAGUCUUGG